AGCGAGGGAAGUUUACACCGAGAGUAUUGAGGGUGACCGUCCCGCCAUCGUCUAUCCUCUUGCUCACAGGGCACUCUCCGCCUUCUUGUUUGCCACUUUUAAUGCUGGCAAAGAAGGGCAAAUACUUGCACAACGCUCUUUUCUUUUUUGUUUCGAGCAAGUAUUUUCAUAAUAGGGAGGAGGGAGGGAGUGAAGAAGUUUCGCGGGCUUCCUCUUUGCCCAAUAAAUCAUCGAUGUCCUUUCUUCCAUUCUGUUCGAGCUUCCCUACAGCGGUAAGGAUGUCGAUUUGCUGGAGCAAUUCUGCAAGACAAGGAAAAAAGAGCAAAGACAGAUUCCGCGAUCUGGGAGAAAAUAGGAGGAGAAAGGAAUGCUUCAAAAUGGUUGUAUGCGCAUCGGGUGAAAUACGUACGGCGAGGGAGAAUUUCACUCGUUAAGUGGUGCAUCAAAGGCCGUUAAAAUCCACCCGGUAAAAUGGCAAACUUUCUCGUUCCCCUCCUUUUCUCUCUGCUUUCCCCACCGUCGAAGUGCCGAUUCCCCUCCUCUCUCGCUCUCUCUCGGCUGCUCUCUCCUUCCUCUCCUCUCUCGCUGCUCUCUCGCUCCCUCCUUCCUCUCCUCUUUCCCCAACGUCGCUGCCUCCUUUCCUCUCUCGCUCCCUCCUUCCUCUCCUCUUUUCCCAACGUCGCUCCCUCCUUUCCUCUCUCGCUCCCUCCUUCCUCUCCUCUUUCCCCAACGUCGCUCCCUCCUUCCUCUCCUCUUUCCCCAACGUCGCUCCCUCCUUUCCUCUCUCGCUUCUCUCUCGCUCCCUCCUUCCUCUCCUCUUUCCCCAACGUCGCUCCCUCCUUUCCUCUCUCGCUGCUCUCUCGUUCCCUCCUUCCUCUCCUCUUUCCCCAACGUCGCUCCCUCCUUCCUCUCCUCUUUCCCCAACGUCGCUCCCUCCUUCCUCUCUCGCUGCUCUCUCGCUCCCUCCUCUCUCUCCUCUUUCCCCAACCUCGCUCCCUCCUUCCUCUCUCGCUGCUGUCUCGCUCCCUCCUUCCCCAACGUCGCCCGCUUGCAGCCCCAGGACUUAGGCACCAUCUUCAACAGGAAAUUUGGGUUUAUCCCUCUUCGCUGCUGCUUUACUCAGGGGUCCAUCCUAUGGUAGUAAAGGCAAAGUGCUGCUUGCUUAUGAAAAAAAUGGGUCCUCUAAAGUCUGUGUUAGAUUUGAUAAUCCAGUUCUGGAGGGAGAUGACCUUGGUGGUCUAUCUGUGGAAAAUCACAGCUUCUUUUGUAGUGCUGACUACUUGCAUUUAGAAAGUUCUUGCAGUGAGGAAAUUGACAAGAUUUCGACCAAUGCAAUGUUUGAGCUUGUCCCCAAUGAGAGUUCUUGUUUCUCAAAGAUGUCGAGAAAUCUUUUGUUGUCUAUUCAGUUUACUUUCUUCAAGACAAAUGUAGCAGGCCCAGAUAGUGUGGAGAUUGUUCGGUAGCCAGUACAACAAAAUGUUGCUUUUGUCUAUAUUUUUUUAAUGGAGCAUAUUCAAAUUCCAAAAUUCCAAUGUUUAUGCUCAAACUCUUACUCGAGUGUAAUUGUUGUUACUGGUACAUAGUUGAAUAACUUUUACUAGAAAUGUUAGCCUACAGAAAAUGAAAUAAUAGGUGAAAAAAAAGAUCUUUGUAUGUACCAUAUAAUUUUAUUCUAGUAUAGAAACUUAAUUUGGCAACCUUUUAUCUUUUAUUUGUUAUGCUUUCUGCCUUAUAGUUUUGCCUUUGCAGCUUAUGGUUUACAUGUGUGUGUUUGUUUCUGAUGUACACUACCUUGAUGUCAUCUAAUCCAAUGUGUUUCUAGUGUUGGGUUUAUAUACCACUUGUGUAUGAACUCUUUCAUUGUCAGAUGUAUCCAAUAACUUACAAGAAGAAAGAGGCACUGUCAGAUGUAUCCAAUAACUUAUAAGAAGAAAGAGGCACUAUCAUGUCUCUUCUUUUUAACACACUCAAAAUAGUGCUGACUUCAAUGUUACCUAAAUCCAAUUUGUUACAUAAUCUUUUUUGUUUUACAUGCCUCUUUUUUUGAACCCGUUAUUAAAAAACAAUUUCUAGAUUAGAUAAGACCAUUGAUCCAGAUCUACAAUCAUACACAAAUCCAAAAAUUCUUGGAUUAGACAAGACCACUGAUCUGAUCUCACAGCCAGAUAGCGAUCUUCAUAUCAAAGAAGACCACCAAUCUAGACCAACAUCAUUAUUUUAGUCCAAGAAUUUUCAAAUAGGAUAUGACAACUAAUUGGGAGCUACAAGUGGAAUAUACUAUUCUCAAUAAAUGUAGAAGAUCUCAUAAACCAAAAUCACUGAUAGUGUGGAGGUUUUGAUAAGGCACAUUUACUAUGAAAAAAAAGGUUCGGGUUCUAGGAUGAUCUGAAUUGGUGAUCGCAAAUGGAUUCGAUGAACAUUGAUGUGGAUGUUGAAAAUGAGGUCUUGCUUUAUUAGUACGUCUUAGACUCAUGUAUUAUUCCUUUGUCCGCUUGUUAUUGGCGUGCGAAUAUGAAACUUGCAAUAGGGAUUACGUUCGUGAAGGAGAUAUGUUGGAGUGGACAGGCAUCUGAUGAUCUAAGAGAAAAAUGAUGUGAAAUCAAAGUCAAUAUCAAGGCAGAUGGAGAUAUAUUAUAAGUUCCUUAAACGAUGGUGAAUGGAGUUGAGAUUUGAAUGGAAAACUUGAGGUGAUGAAUUCUUUGUUGGCAUUGAGAUGUCGAUCAAGUGAAAAAAGGAGUUAUUAAGAACAAUUUUGAAGAAGUCCUUAAAUAUCCAUCGGAAAUACCUCAACUCUAAGGUUGGUUGAAGAAAUUUCUUCAAGUUUCAAUUGUCGAAGAUAAAGGAGAUCGUGGUCUUCGGUGGAUAGGUGAAAAAGAUGAAGAUUUAGAGAGAGGGAGAGAGGGAGAAAACUAGAGAUCUAACAGUUUGCGUUUCGUAGCAACUUGAUUUGUUGCAUUGCGCAGCCGUGGUCGAACUGAGGGUUGCGUGUUCAAAGGAUUUCACAGCAUUGUUUUUUAGAUAAUGUUGGCAAGGCUAAUAGCACAACCAUAUCCCAAAUCCAACAAUUUUCGGAUCAGAUAAGACCGCUGAUUCGUAUGAACAAUCAUAUGCAAUUCAACAAUUUCUGGAUCAGAUAAGACCAUCGAUCCUAUCUCGCAACGAAGUUCAAAUCCAACAAUUUCUAGAUCAGAUAAGACCACUGAUCUUGACCCACAAAAUGAUUUGAAUUCAACAAUUUCUCAAAUCAGAUAAGACUCAUAGUCCAUGACCAGAACCCAACAGAAAUCCCUUAAUUUACGUUUUAUGUGAGGCCACUGAUCUUGACCCACAACUAGAUGCGAAUGAAGCAAUUUGUGGAUCAGAUAAGACCACUGAUCCAAAUGUACAACCAGGCACAAUCCAACUAUUCUGGAAUCAGAUAUGACCAUUGAUCCGACGUCGCAGCCAGAUUUUGAUCCAACGAUCUUCAGAUCAGAGUAGACCACUGAUCUAGACCAACAUCAUUAUUUUAGUCCAAGAAUUUUCAAAUAGGAUAUGACAACUAAUUGGGAGCUACAAGUGGAAUAUACUAUUCUCAAUAAAUGUAGAAGAUCUCAUAAACCAAAAUCACUGAUAGUGUGGAGGUUUUGAUAAGGCACAUUUACUAUGAAAAAAAAGGUUCGGGUUCUAGGAUGAUCUGAAUUGGUGAUCGCAAAUGGAUUUGAUGAACAUUGAUGUGGAUGUUGAAAAUGAGGUCUUGCUUUAUUAGUACGUCUUAGACUCAUGUAUUAUUCCUUUGUCCGCUUGUUAUUGGCGUGCGAAUAUGAAACUUGCAAUAGGGAUUACGCUCGUGAAGGAGAUAUGUUGGAGUGGACAGGCAUCUGAUGAUCUAAGAGAAAAAUGAUGUGAAAUCAAAGUCAAUAUCAAGGCAGAUGGAGAUAUAUUAUAAGUUCCUUAAACGAUGGUGAAUGGAGUUGAGAUUUGAAUGGAAAACUUGAGGUGAUGAAUUCUUUGUUGGCAUUGAGAUGUCGAUCAAGUGAAAAAAGGAGUUAUUAAGAACAAUUUUGAAGAAGUCCUUAAAUAUCCAUCGGAAAUACCUCAACUCUAAGGUUGGUUGAAGAAAUUUCUUCAAGUUUCAAUUGUCGAAGAUAAAGGAGAUCGUGGUCUUCGGUGGAUAGGUGAAAAAGAUGAAGAUUUAGAGAGAGGGAGAGAGGGAGAAAACUAGAGAUCUAACAGUUUGCGUUUCGUAGCAACUUGAUUUGUUGCAUUGCGCAGCCGUGGUCGAACUGAGGGUUGCGUGUUCAAAGGAUUUCACAGCCAUGUUUUUUAGAUAAUGUUGGCAAGGCUAAUAGCACAACCAUAUCCCAAAUCCAACAAUUUUCGGAUCAGAUAAGACCGCUGGUUCGUAUGAACAAUCAUAUGCAAUUCAACAAUUUCUGGAUCAGAUAAGACCAUCGAUCCUAUCUCGCAACGAAGUUCAAAUCCAACAAUUUCUACAUAGAUAAGACCACUGAUCUUGACACACAAAAUAAUUUGAAUUCAACAAUUUGUCAAAUCAGAUAAGACUCAUAGUCCAUGACCAGAACCCAACAGAAAUCCCUUAAUUUACGUUUUAUGUGAGGCCACUGAUCUUGACCCACAACUAGAUGCGAAUGAAGCAAUUUGUGGAUCAGAUAAGACCACUGAUCCAAAUGUACAACCAGGCACAAUCCAACUAUUCUGGAAUCCGAUAUGACCAUUGAUCCGACGUCGUAGCCAGAUUUUGAUCCAACGAUCUUCAGAUCAGAGUAGACCACUGAUCUAGACCAACAUCAUUAUUUUAGUCCAAGAAUUUUCAAAUAGGAUAUGACAACUAAUUGGGAGCUACAAGUGGAAUAUACUAUUCUCAAUAAAUGUAGAAGAUCUCAUAAACCAAAAUCACUGAUAGUGUGGAGGUUUUGAUAAGGCACAUUUACUAUGAAAAAAAAGGUUCGGGUUCUAGGAUGAUCUGAAUUGGUGAUCGCAAAUGGAUUUGAUGAACAUUGAUGUGGAUGUUGAAAAUGAGGUCUUGCUUUAUUAGUACGUCUUAGACUCAUGUAUUAUUCCUUUGUCCGCUUGUUAUUGGCGUGCGAAUAUGAAACUUGCAAUAGGGAUUACGCUCGUGAAGGAGAUAUGUUGGAGUGGACAGGCAUCUGAUGAUCUAAGAGAAAAAUGAUGUGAAAUCAAAGUCAAUAUCACGGCAGAUGGAGAUAUAUUAUAAGUUCCUUAAACGAUGGUGAAUGGAGUUGAGAUUUGAAUGGAAAACUUGAGGUGAUGAAUUCUUUGUUGGCAUUGAGAUGUCGAUCAAGUGAAAAAAGGAGUUAUUAAGAACAAUUUUGAAGAAGUCCUUAAAUAUCCAUCGGAAAUACCUCAACUCUAAGGUUGGUUGAAGAAAUUUCUUCAAGUUUCAAUUGUCGAAGAUAAAGGAGAUCGUGGUCUUCGGUGGAUAGGUGAAAAAGAUGAAGAUUUAGAGAGAGGGAGAGAGGGAGAAAACUAGAGAUCUAACAGUUUGCGUUUCGUAGCAACUUGAUUUGUUGCAUUGCGCAGCCGUGGUCGAACUGAGGGUUGCGUGUUCAAAGGAUUUCACAGCCUUGUUUUUUAGAUAAUGUUGGCAAGGCUAAUAGCACAACCAUAUCCCAAAUCCAACAAUUUUCGGAUCAGAUAAGACCGCUGGUUCGUAUGAACAAUCAUAUGCAAUUCAACAAUUUCUGGAUCAGAUAAGACCAUCGAUCCUAUCUCGCAACGAAGUUCAAAUCCAACAAUUUCUAGAUCAGAUAAGACCACUGAUCUUGACCCACAAAAUGAUUUGAAUUCAACAAUUUCUCAAAUCAGAUAAGACUCAUAGUCCAUGACCAGAACCCAACAGAAAUCCCUUAAUUUACGUUUUAUGUGAGGCCACUGAUCUUGACCCACAACUAGAUGCGAAUGAAGCAAUUUGUGGAUCAGAUAAGACCACUGAUCCAAAUGUACAACCAGGCACAAUCCAACUAUUCUGGAAUCAGAUAUGACCAUUGAUCCGACGUCGUAGCCAGAUUUUGAUCCAACGAUCUUCAGAUCAGAGUAGACCACUGAUCUAGACCAACAUCAUUAUUUUAGUCCAAGAAUUUUCAAAUAGGAUAUGACAACUAAUUGGGAGCUACAAGUGGAAUAUACUAUUCUCAAUAAAUGUAGAAGAUCUCAUAAACCAAAAUCACUGAUAGUGUGGAGGUUUUGAUAAGGCACAUUUACUAUGAAAAAAAAGGUUCGGGUUCUAGGAUGAUCUGAAUUGGUGAUCGCAAAUGGAUUUGAUGAACAUUGAUGUGGAUGUUGAAAAUGAGGUCUUGCUUUAUUAGUACGUCUUAGACUCAUGUAUUAUUCCUUUGUCCGCUUGUUAUUGGCGUGCGAAUAUGAAACUUGCAAUAGGGAUUACGCUCGUGAAGGAGAUAUGUUGGAGUGGACAGGCAUCUGAUGAUCUAAGAGAAAAAUGAUGUGAAAUCAAAGUCAAUAUCAAGGCAGAUGGAGAUAUAUUAUAAGUUCCUUAAACGAUGGUGAAUGGAGUUGAGAUUUGAAUGGAAAACUUGAGGUGAUGAAUUCUUUGUUGGCAUUGAGAUGUCGAUCAAGUGAAAAAAGGAGUUAUUAAGAACAAUUUUGAAGAAGUCCUUAAAUAUCCAUCGGAAAUACCUCAACUCUAAGGUUGGUUGAAGAAAUUUCUUCAAGUUUCAAUUGUCGAAGAUAAAGGAGAUCGUGGUCUUCGGUGGAUAGGUGAAAAAGAUGAAGAUUUAGAGAGAGGGAGAGAGGGAGAAAACUAGAGAUCUAACAGUUUGCGUUUCGUAGCAACUUGAUUUGUUGCAUUGCGCAGCCGUGGUCGAACUGAGGGUUGCGUGUUCAAAGGAUUUCACAGCCUUGUUUUUUAGAUAAUGUUGGCAAGGCUAAUAGCACAACCAUAUCCCAAAUCCAACAAUUUUCGGAUCAGAUAAGACCGCUGGUUCGUAUGAACAAUCAUAUGCAAUUCAACAAUUUCUGGAUCAGAUAAGACCAUCGAUCCUAUCUCGCAACGAAGUUCAAAUCCAACAAUUUCUAGAUCAGAUAAGACCACUGAUCUUGACCCACAAAAUGAUUUGAAUUCAACAAUUUCUCAAAUCAGAUAAGACUCAUAGUCCAUGACCAGAACCCAACAGAAAUCCCUUAAUUUACGUUUUAUGUGAGGCCACUGAUCUUGACCCACAACUAGAUGCGAAUGAAGCAAUUUGUGGAUCAGAUAAGACCACUGAUCCAAAUGUACAACCAGGCACAAUCCAACUAUUCUGGAAUCAGAUAUGACCAUUGAUCCGACGUCGUAGCCAGAUUUUGAUCCAACGAUCUUCAGAUCAGAGUAGACCACUGAUCUAGACCAACAUCAUUAUUUUAGUCCAAGAAUUUUCAAAUAGGAUAUGACAACUAAUUGGGAGCUACAAGUGGAAUAUACUAUUCUCAAUAAAUGUAGAAGAUCUCAUAAACCAAAAUCACUGAUAGUGUGGAGGUUUUGAUAAGGCACAUUUACUAUGAAAAAAAAGGUUCGGGUUCUAGGAUGAUCUGAAUUGGUGAUCGCAAAUGGAUUUGAUGAACAUUGAUGUGGAUGUUGAAAAUGAGGUCUUGCUUUAUUAGUACGUCUUAGACUCAUGUAUUAUUCCUUUGUCCGCUUGUUAUUGGCGUGCGAAUAUGAAACUUGCAAUAGGGAUUACGCUCGUGAAGGAGAUAUGUUGGAGUGGACAGGCAUCUGAUGAUCUAAGAGAAAAAUGAUGUGAAAUCAAAGUCAAUAUCAAGGCAGAUGGAGAUAUAUUAUAAGUUCCUUAAACGAUGGUGAAUGGAGUUGAGAUUUGAAUGGAAAACUUGAGGUGAUGAAUUCUUUGUUGGCAUUGAGAUGUCGAUCAAGUGAAAAAAGGAGUUAUUAAGAACAAUUUUGAAGAAGUCCUUAAAUAUCCAUCGGAAAUACCUCAACUCUAAGGUUGGUUGAAGAAAUUUCUUCAAGUUUCAAUUGUCGAAGAUAAAGGAGAUCGUGGUCUUCGGUGGAUAGGUGAAAAAGAUGAAGAUUUAGAGAGAGGGAGAGAGGGAGAAAACUAGAGAUCUAACAGUUUGCGUUUCGUAGCAACUUGAUUUGUUGCAUUGCGCAGCCGUGGUCGAACUGAGGGUUGCGUGUUCAAAGGAUUUCACAGCCUUGUUUUUUAGAUAAUGUUGGCAAGGCUAAUAGCACAACCAUAUCCCAAAUCCAACAAUUUUCGGAUCAGAUAAGACCGCUGGUUCGUAUGAACAAUCAUAUGCAAUUCAACAAUUUCUGGAUCAGAUAAGACCAUCGAUCCUAUCUCGCAACGAAGUUCAAAUCCAACAAUUUCUAGAUCAGAUAAGACCACUGAUCUUGACCCACAAAAUGAUUUGAAUUCAACAAUUUCUCAAAUCAGAUAAGACUCAUAGUCCAUGACCAGAACCCAACAGAAAUCCCUUAAUUUACGUUUUAUGUGAGGCCACUGAUCUUGACCCACAACUAGAUGCGAAUGAAGCAAUUUGUGGAUCAGAUAAGACCACUGAUCCAAAUGUACAACCAGGCACAAUCCAACUAUUCUGGAAUCAGAUAUGACCAUUGAUCCGACGUCGUAGCCAGAUUUUGAUCCAACGAUCUUCAGAUCAGAGUAGACCACUGAUCUAGACCAACAUCAUUAUUUUAGUCCAAGAAUUUUCAAAUAGGAUAUGACAACUAAUUGGGAGCUACAAGUGGAAUAUACUAUUCUCAAUAAAUGUAGAAGAUCUCAUAAACCAAAAUCACUGAUAGUGUGGAGGUUUUGAUAAGGCACAUUUACUAUGAAAAAAAAGGUUCGGGUUCUAGGAUGAUCUGAAUUGGUGAUCGCAAAUGGAUUUGAUGAACAUUGAUGUGGAUGUUGAAAAUGAGGUCUUGCUUUAUUAGUACGUCUUAGACUCAUGUAUUAUUCCUUUGUCCGCUUGUUAUUGGCGUGCGAAUAUGAAACUUGCAAUAGGGAUUACGCUCGUGA